rnacentral:rRNA from 1 species
UACGUAGGGAGCAAGCGUUGUCCGGAAUCAUUGGGCGUAAAGCGCGCGUAGGCGGCUCGAUCAGUCUGUUGUGAAAGUCAAAGGCUCAACCUUUGAAUGCCGAUGGAUACUGUCGAGCUAGAGUCCGGAAGAGGCGAGUGGAAUUCCUGGUGUAGCGGUGAAAUGCGCAGAUAUCAGGAAGAACACCCGUGGCGAAGGCGGCUCUCUGGGACGGUACUGACGCUCAUGCACGAAAGCGUGGGGAGCAAACAGG